GGUGAACGCGUGGCCAGCGGCGGGGGGAAUACGGGGGGUGCGAGCGUUAAGCGGAUUUACUGGGCGUAAAGCGUGCGUAGGCGGCUGAUUAAGUCGGAUGUGAAAUCCCUGAGCUUAACUUAGGAAUUGCAUUCGAUACUGGGAAGCUAGAGUAUGGGAGAGGAUGGUAGAAUUCCAGGUGUAGCGGUGAAAUGCGUAGAGAUCUGGAGGAAUACCGAUGGCGAAGGCAGCCAUCUGGCCUAAUACUGACGCUGAGGUACGAAAGCAUGGGGAGCAAACAGGAUUAGAUACCCCAGUAGC
rnacentral:rRNA from 1 species